GGUGCGUUCUUCUAAUGGUUAGGAAACCGGCCUCUCACGCCGGUAAUAGGGGUUCGAUUCCCCUACGCACUA
rnacentral:tRNA from 1 species